UUCCUUCUUUUCUUCUUUUGUUUUGUGCUUUUUUGUAAUCCAAUUGAAAAAAUACAAGAUGAGAAAAUUAUGCUUCACUAUAGACAAAGAGACUUUCAGUAUAAGGAUGGUUCAAGCCUUUGUUUGCUCCUUCAUAGGUUGCUGAAGUAGAUGCAUAGUCUGCAUAGGGGUUCAGUCUUUCGAUCUCCAUAAUAUUUUCAAUCUGUUUCACCACUUCACUCAUUUUAGGGCGAUUGACUCCUC